UGUGCUGCAGCCGACAUAGCUCUAGUCCAGGAGCCCUGGAUUGCGACAGGCAACUCAGUGGUCGGACUAAAGUCCUCAAAUCACAACUUGUUCUACUCAACAUCACACGGAUGACCUGACGUUUGUGAUGCUGGGAAGUGAGGAAAAUUGCCUUCUGGUGGCUUCCUGCUAUAUGGCUCACGACAGACCCGCGCCACUCAGGAGUCUGGUGACAGAA